CUCUUGCCGUGUCCUAUAAACUUAAUUAGGGCAAAAGUCAAGCAGAAGGCCUGACGAGAAGACUAGUGGAUAAACAAACUAGAAAAAAUCAGUAAUUUGCCAGUUGGUGUGUCAGCCAGAGACAAUGUUGUUUAUUGCUUUUUGGUGAAGAGCCCAGGGGAGAGCGUGUGUCCUAGCGGAGUAGAAUGCUGUGACACUUGGUUUCUGAGCCUCGAAGACUGCCUGAAUUUCUGGAACCCCUCUGUCCACAGUGAUUAUAGAAGAGCAGAGGAAAGAGGACAGCGCUCAGCGCUCACAUUUAAAGAUGGAUGUUUGUGCUUGUUUCUGUGCGCACGUAUCUGUGUGUAUGCCCGCCUAUGUGUGAGUGUGCG